rnacentral:rRNA from 1 species
AGAUGUUUCCUUACUGCUUUGUCAAUGCUUAAUCUUGUCUGAUAUCGGAAACUAAACAGGGUCGGGCUUGGUUAGUCCUUGGAUGGGAGACCAGUGGGAAUACCUGGUGGCACAGUGG